rnacentral:rRNA from 1 species
UACCAGCACCCCGGAGUGGUCGGGACGUUUAUUGGGCCUAAAGCAUCCGUAGCCGGUUCUACAAGUCUUCCGUUAAAUCCACCUGCUUAACAGAUGGGCUGCGGAAGAUACUAUAGAGCUAGGAGGCGGGAGAGGCAAGCGGGUACUCGAUGGGUAGGGGUAAAAUCCGUUGAUCCAUUGAAGACCACCAGUGGCGAAGG